ensembl:lncRNA
CUCUCUGGAGAUCCCUGUGUACCUGAGACUCUCUAAAGAAAUGAACUGUAUGUGAAAAGAGAAGAACACAGCAGGCAUGCCAGCUGAGCACAGCAAAUGGGCAGGUUUCUCUCAGAAAGUCUGGGACUCUGAAUUUCUCUGACUAUAAUCAGAACUGUCCAUAUUACAAAUCUUUUUUGACAGCAAGAUUCUGAAGGAAGUAUGACUGGACAAUACUUUAGCUUGUUAGGCAUGCACAGAUUUAUUUGGUUGCUAUGGCAAAUGAUCCAGAGCUACAUGCGACACUGAGCUUUCAUAGUACAAAUGAGAAAGGGCAAGGUAGAAUAAAAUGAAGAAGGUGUUAACUGGUCUCCAUUGGCUUUCCAAAGCAGUCUCUCCUCACUUUGCCUGUUUUCUCCAUGCUUUAGAUUUCUUCAUCUGACUACUAUGGAACAACACUGGAAAAUGUCUAGUGUGUAAUACAGAACAAGCCAAUAUAAAUUUAAGUUAAUGCAUAAAACCAGGCAUACUAUCCUUUCUCUUCCCCACAGCCUGCUUCUUUUCCUUUCCAGUACUUUGGAGGAUAAUAUAUUUUGUACUUCAUAGACAGUUUUUGGGCUAUUCCCAUUUCAAAGAAAUGAGUGUAUUUUUUUUGUAAUAAUCAAGCAUCAAUUUGUACAGACAGUUAACCAUUUUCUUAUACUCCAAGAAAUUUCAGAAAAAGACUGAAGAACAUAUGUAUUUCCAUUCUCAAUAAGCACAUGGUUGUUAUACUAAUACAAGCUGGAUUGAAAAGUCAGUAGCUUAAUUUAGGAAGGUGGCCAGUAACUGUAAAGAAAAGCUAAGGAAAAUUGACUUUCCAGGAGGCAACCAAAGUUAAGGAUGCCAUAGAAAUCCUUCACAGAGAAUAGAUAUCCAUAGCAUUUUUGUGUUUAAAAUAAAUAAUUUUCAAAAAGCAUAGUGCUAAAGAAAACAACCAAAAAAAACUACUAAGUUGUCAGGUCUGUAGGGUUCAAAUGUCCCACAUCUUCCAGACCAAGUUGGCAGUUGCUACUUAGAAGGUAACCCAAGAGUGGAAUAUCAUAUGGUGUUAACUGUCAGGACUGAAGUGCUUUGGUAGCAGUGUGUGUGGGAGGCCUGCACAGAGCCUGAUUGCAAUGUGCCUAACAACCAAAAUUGUUUUGCAUUACGUUCACCACAAAUUGAAAAUAUAUGCAAUAUUUACUCUAAUACAGUUUUUGGCAAAGAUUACACCUCUAAUGGUCUGAACAAUUUAAGCAAGCCUGGGGAUCUUGCUGAGGGCAGUAAAUUAGAACACUUCAUUUGUAGAAAAAGAAUUUGUUACACUCCACUGUAAAAGCCAAGCCAAAGUUGAACUAUGCCCUUUAAAAUAAUAAAACCUUUUCAUAAGAUAAACCAUUUCCAUCUAGAAAACCAUCAAAUUCUGACCUGACUGACAAAAGCUGAACAAUCUUGCCAUAGAAAAAAUGUAAUUUACACUGCAUCUCAAUUUGUAUUUUUGUUCCCAUUUUAUUACUUUAUAUAAAUAUUCUAAAUAUUAUAUAAAUAUGUUAUAUUCUAUAAUGUAGACUAUAGCAUUACAUUUCUAUAGCAUAUACAAAUUCUCACUGGUUGAACAAACAAAACAAUGAUCUUUGGAAAAUUUUCUAAUGAUCUGAAGUUUUUCAAAAGCUGCUUUUACAAAACCCAAAUUUUGAAUUAUGUUUGAAACUUUCUGUCCUUUAAAAAUAAUAUGUAUAUAACGAUAUAAACUGUGUUUUAAACUGUGAAAAUAAAAAAGAUGUAU